rnacentral:rRNA from 1 species
UACGAAGGGGGCUAGCGUUGUUCGGAAUUACUGGGCGUAAAGCGCACGUAGGCGGAUCUAUAAGUCAGGGGUGAAAUCCCGGGGCUCAACCUCGGAACUGCCUUUGAUACUGUAGAUCUCGAGUCCGAUAGAGGUGAGUGGAAUUCCUAGUGUAGAGGUGAAAUUCGUAGAUAUUAGGAAGAACACCAGUGGCGAAGGCGGCUCACUGGAUCGGUACUGACGCUGAGGUGCGAAAGCGUGGGGAGCAAACAGG